AUACGUAGGGGGCGAGCGUUGUCCGGAAUUACUGGGCGUAAAGGGCGCGCAGGCGGAUAUUUAAGUCAGCUGUAAAAGGCAUGAGCUCAACUCAUGUAUGCGGUUGAAACUGGGUAUCUAGAGUGCUGGAGAGGGAGGCGGAAUUCCCGGUGUAGCGGUGAAAUGCGUAGAUAUCGGGAAGAACACCAGUGGCAAAGGCGGCUUACUGGCCAGCAACAGACGCUGAGGCGCGAAAGCCAGGGGAGCGAACGGGUUGAGAUCCCCCGGUAGUCCUGGCCGUAAACGAUGAAUGCUAGGUGUGGGUGUCGAGAGGCAUCCGUGCCGGAGUUAACGCGAUAAGCAUUCCGCCUGGGGAGUACGAUCGCAAGAUUGAAACUCAAAGGAAUUGACGGGG
rnacentral:rRNA from 1 species